rnacentral:misc_RNA from 1 species
GAUGAUCCAUACUGCAAGCUUAAUACAUGAUGAUGUACUAGAUGAAAGCAACAUGCGAAGAGGUAAUACUUUGGGGUUUACAUGAAUGUGACUAGAAACAUUCCAUUGGUGCCGUGCUAUAAAAAUAGCCAAGCAAUUUUAGAAUUUCCAAGAAAUGGACUAAUGCUGUUUCAAGCACCAAAUUCACUCAAUAAGUUUACCAUUUUUUAAGUUUGUGUCAGAUGCUGAGGUCUGUGCUGCUGCAUGCCGACGGAUAAUCAGUCUGUAUGCAGUUAUUGUAGGAUGCUCUGUAUGCAGUUAUUGUAGGAUGCUCUGUAUGCAGAUUUUCUAUAUGAAACCUUUGUUUGUGGAAGUUCUUAGUCUGAUGAACACCACUGUAAUCUGUCUAGUGAUUUCAUCUUUUAUAACUCCUAAAAGAUCACUUGCAGAUUUUAUAUAUUGCAGGAUUAGUAAAGUUUCACUUAGAAACUGUUCCCCUUUGAUAUGAAAAGAUUUAUAUUUAGACUUGCGGAGCUAUAUCCUAUGGGUACCAGAAGUUCAAUUUCGUAUUUUUCCUGUUUACAGUUUCAUCUUUC